AUUGAACGCUGGCGGCAGGCCUAAUACAUGCAAGUCGAACGGUAACAUGAAAAAAGCUUGCUUUUUUGAUGACGAGUGGCGGACGGGUGAGUAAGGUUUGGGAAACUGCCUGAUAGAGGGGGACAACAGUUGGAAACGACUGCUAAUACCGGAUGUGAUCUACGGAUUAAAGGAGCCUUUAAAGCUCCGCUUAGAGAUGGGCCUGCGGUGCAUUAGCUAGUUGGUGGGGUAAUGGCCUACCAAGGCGACGAUGCAUAGCCGAACUGAGAGGUUAACCCCCCACAUUGGUACUGAGACACGGACCAAACUCCUACGGGAGGCAGCAGUGAGGAUAUGGUCAAUGGACGCAAGUCUGAACCAGCCAUGCCGCGUGCAGGAUGACGGCUCUAUGAGUUGAAACUGCUUUUGAUGAGGGUAAAUUGAUACGUGUAUCUAACUGAAAGUAUCAUACGAAUAAGGAUCGGCU
rnacentral:rRNA from 1 species